UGGGGGCAACUCCAUGAGUACAGCGGCGCACGGGUGAGUAACACGUAGGUAACCUACCUAUGAGUCUGGAAUAACCUGCCGAAAGGCGGGCUAAUACCGGAUAAGACCACGGGGGCUGUGGCUCCCGGGGCAAAAGGUGGCCUCUCCAUGGAAGCUACCACUCGUAGAUGGGCCUGCGCGCCAUNAGCUAGUUGGCGGGGUAAUGGCCCACCAAGGCGAAGAUGGCUAGCUGGUCUGAGAGGAUGGCCAGCCACACUGGGAUUGAGACACGGCCCAGACUCCUACGGGAGGCAGCAGUGGGGAAUAUUGCGCAAUGGGCGAAAGCCUGACGCAGCGACGCCGCGUGGGUGAUGAAGGCCUUCGGGUCGUAAAGCCCUGUCGGGAGGGACGAAACUUCGGUGACCUAAUACGUCAUCGACCUGACGGUACCUCCUAAGGAAGCACCGGCUAACUCCGUGCCAGCAGCUGCGGUAAUACGGAGGGUGCAAGCGUUGUUCGGAAUUACUGGGCGUAAAGCGCGUGUAGGCGGUCGCUUAAGUCUGAUGUGAAAGCCCGGGGCUCACCUCCGGAAGAGCAUUGGAAACUGAGCGACUCGAGUGCCGGAGAGGAGGGUGGAAUUCCUGGUGUAGCGGUGAAAUGCGUAGAUAUCAGGAGGAACACCGGUGGAGAAGGUGCCCCUCUCGACGGAUACUGACGGUGAGACGUGAAAGCUUGGGGAGCAAACAGGAUAAGAUACUCAUGAGUAGUGCACCAGGUAAACGAUGGGCAAUAGGUCUUCGGG
rnacentral:rRNA from 1 species